CUUGGUGGAAAGGUUGCGCCAGAACACGUCUUGUUUGCGGUUAUGCUUAAACGUGCUUUAUUAUAUAAACACAAAUGUUAUAUAAAGUUUUUGGCCACUGAGAAAACGAGGUCAAAAAGAAAAUUUUGAAAAUAAGGCUAUAAUUAUAUAAUAUUGACGAACGCACACAUUCCAACUCAGACCAUAGUUAAUAUAAUGAGAGGGUUUGGAAGGCCGGCAAACUUCAAAGGAUAACGCCCCCUUUCGUGAGCUGAACUCGAUAGAGGGCAUCACGUGACAGUUAUAGUGCAUCAUGGCGUGAUUCUAUAAUACAAUUCCCUAUUGACAACUUAGAAAUCUUUAAUUUUCGCUCGUUAUACGAGGUUUGGGUGAAAUACGAGGUUUUAUCGCAAAUCUCCAUCGUAAGUGGCAACUUUUGAGACGUUUUUAUGUGUGAUAACCCAAAUUGCUGACGCUGUGUAUAGUAUCAAUUUCAAGUGAAGCGAAGUCAUACUGCUAAAGCCGCUCGAAAUGGUCGUUGAAAACGCACGUUUAAGGUUUGGAAUCAUGGAAAUAGAUGAGGAAAUUGAUACUGAGCGUUUAGAAAGCUCUUGUUCACCUUUGAGGACGAUUUAGAGUAAACAACUGCGCUUCUCGAGAUGGACGUGGAUGAAGUUCAGAUUGAAGUUCAACAAGCGCUUGAAGAGGUAUGAAAUAUAAAAUUUAGACGAUGAUUUUUAUACAUAUAUUACUGUAAACAUAGAUAUUUACCUAAUGAAUAUUUUCCCUUUCAAUACAUCGUCUCUAGAUUGAAGGAAAGAAACAGUUCCCUUGCAGAUUUGCAGUUUCUGUGAGAAAGUUUGCAAAUCCAAAGGUGGCCUGACAAGACACCGCGACGCAGUAUGAAACAUGUUGCAGAAUUCGGUGAGGGAUCUUCUACAUUUCAAACAGUGAUAUUAGUAGAAAAAGUUGCCGAAUUAAUACGUGAUAUCGGUCCACACGUGGUUCAGUUGGUUGACGAAAAACUGUAUAACGUAUGCCCUACUUUAGUAUUUACUCUGUUUAACGCCAGGCGAUUUUACCUGUCAAGGGAAGCAUCUAAGAUAAUAUUUCUGUGCCACCAAAGGGCAGUCUAACUCUCAGAGCCAAACAAAUGUAAUUAGAAUAAUUAAUCAUAGAUUCUUGUUUGAAUUUUAGGAAGAAUUGUCUUUGUCACCUCAGGAGCUUGGACCAUUAUCAUAUUUGACUGGCUAUGUGAUAAGAUCUUUAUACCAGAAAAGCAAGAACUGUUAUAGGAGCAAUUCUUCCUGAAACAAAGAAGUCCAAGCCUCGAUGUCAUCAAUGCGACAGGACACAGAGGCCAAUAAAUACAUUUCAUCCUUGUUGAGGGGUGGACUUUGGUCACCACACUCAUGGAUUGUAAGCAUUGCAAGGUGUCAGAGUUAAUAUUUAAAACACACAUCAAAUAAAGACAAGGUUACUGUCUACCAGUAGACACAAUUGUGAAUGAAGUCCUAACUUCUCCUCUUGUGACAAACUUGUGGUGCAACAUUAUUCAAAACUGUGAUGUAGAAACUUCCAUGGAAUGUCAAUCUUUAUGUUUAGAGAAUGUUCAGUCAAAUUAUAUGUAACUGUAAGAUGUUUUCCUUUGCUAAGGAUAUUGUAAAUAAAUAUAAGAUAAGUCAGGGUACACAGAAAAAGAAAGCUUUAUGAAAAGACUUGAAGACAGGCACAGAUUUUCCGGGGGUGGGAACCCCCCCCCAGAAAUGAUUUGCACCCUCCAGAGGCAUUUGGCACAGCCCCCAAAAGUCUUGGCACUCCCGCAAAUUAUAUAUAUUUUGAUUUGAUAGUUUCAUAUUUGAUUAUUCUUACUAAAUUUGUAAAAUUACCAAUAUUAUGGUCUCAGAUGAUCAGAUCUCACCAUGCAGGCCUAGAAAACAAAUUUUGUUAAACUUUUUCCUUGGCCUUUCCAGGUGUUGCCACCAGGCCCCGGCCUUUCAAAGCAAACAGCACCCCCCCCCCCAGAUAUUUAUCCACACACCCCGAACGAAAAUAUGAAAAUCCGUCUCUGCUUGAAGAUUGCCAGUGAAGAAAAGAAAUAGUCAGGUACAUAAUACAAUAACGUUAUAUCAAUGAUAUUAAAUGUAAAUAUGAUACUGUAUCAAUGAAUUAUCCUCAUAUUUUUAUGUGUAAUCUUUUCAUCAACACAUAGUAAUAACAACAAUAUAUAAAUAUAUACGCACAGCUUAAACUACUUUCUCUCAAUUAUGUAAUGUUCAGCCAAAUUUAGUCAUGCAGUUUAAAUAAGCUAAUUGGAGAUAAUAGGCUAACAUAUCUCAAUGUGCUCUUUUAUUCUUUUACUCUGUCAGUGUCUAUCAUCAGACAAUUUUACACAUCAAGGGCAGUGCGUAUUAAGCAUUGCAGCUUAAAGAGUUAAAAUCAUAUGGCAUCAGACAAAUGUUAAAACGAUAAAGUAGGAGCAUUGUGGCUUAAUUAAACAUACAUUGUGUAGUGUAU